AGAAAAACAAAAGGGAAGUUAACAGAAGUAUCUGGGAGCUCCUUCUACAAACACGACAUAUACUUAGUGUGUGAAAACAUGGUGUCGUGAGUAUGUGUCCCUCUCGUGAAGAUAUCUAGCUCAAGAUUAAAGAGAAACUUGAUUUUAGCUAACUAGAAAGUAAAGUAGAGUGCUUUUGAUCUUUAAUCAGGAGUAAAUCAAGGUGAUACAAGAGAUCAACCAAGUUUUACUUAAAAGCUAACGGUGAUUAUAAGGUGAGACAAGUGGAGCCCGAAAAGAUCCAGGGAAGGGUAUAGCUUAGCACUAGCGGUGUU